AUGAGUUUUGAACCUGGCUCAGGACGAACGCUGGCGGCGUGCUUAACACAUGCAAGUCGAACGGAAAGGCCCUGCUUUUGUGGGGUGCUCGAGUGGCGAACGGGUGAGUAACACGUGAGUAACCUGCCCUUGACUUUGGGAUAACUUCAGGAAACUGGGGCUAAUACCGGAUAGGAGCUCCUGCUGCAUGGUGGGGGUUGGAAAGUUUCGGCGGUUGGGGAUGGACUCGCGGCUUAUCAGCUUGUUGGUGGGGUAGUGGCUUACCAAGGCUUUGACGGGUAGCCGGCCUGAGAGGGUGACCGGCCACAUUGGGACUGAGAUACGGCCCAGACUCCUACGGGAGGCAGCAGUGGGGAAUAUUGCACAAUGGGCGGAAGCCUGAUGCAGCAACGCCGCGUGCGGGAUGACGGCCUUCGGGUUGUAAACCGCUUUCGCCUGUGACGAAGCGUGAGUGACGGUAAUGGGUAAAGAAGCACCGGCUA
rnacentral:rRNA from 1 species